AAUUAGAAAGCGAAUUAUUGCAUUUAGUUUCGACCUAAACUUUGGCUCCACACAGCCUCUAAUUA
rnacentral:tRNA from 1 species